UACGUAGGGGGCUAGCGUUGUCCGGAUUUAUUGGGCGUAAAGAGCGUGUAGGCGGCCAGGUAGGUCUGGUGUGAAAACUCGAGGCUUAACCUUGAGAUGUCAUCGGAAACCAUCUGGCUAGAGUCCGGAAGAGGAGAGUGGAAUUCCUGGUGUAGCGGUGAAAUGCGCAGAUAUCAGGAAGAACACCAAUGGCGAAAGCAGCUCUCUGGGACGGUACUGACGCUGAGACGCGAAAGCGUGGGGAGCGAACAGG
rnacentral:rRNA from 1 species